CCGCCACCCAGGCCCUUCACUCUUCUACUGAACCACUUUCUUCCAUGUGCACACGCUGAUUUCUCAACCUGGAAUCAUUUCCCUACACCUUUCCUCAAAGGACUGUUAAUGAGUUUUCAGAGAUGGAGUAGCAGUCUGUUGCCCAGGCUGGAGUGCAGUGUUGCGAUCUCAGCUCACUGCAACCUCUGCCCCCCGGGUUCAAGCGAUUCUCCUGCCUCAGCCUCGCGAGUAGCUGGGACUACAGGUG
rnacentral:lncRNA from 10 species